UUCCCUACAAGACAGAUCCACCUUUGCAGUUGCUGCAGUAAUUGCAAAGACUCCAUUGGAAUAUUCUGAAAAGAACUGCAAAGUGAUACCAGCUGCGAGGGAUUUCUCUUCCCUUGCUUCUCAGAGCAGCUCCUUCAAGGCAAAAAAGCUACCUCUCAUUGCUGCCAGUGAAGGGCACAGAGCUUGCAUCGUUUUGAAAUUGCUAUGGGUCUGUCCUUGUUACCAUUGCCUCUUUGCCUGAGACAAAUUGGAUGUUACCCAACACAGAGAGACCAACAGUUGUGCGCUGUUUGGGACAUUCUGAGCGUCUGAAUAUGAUUUUCUCCCCCUCCCCCCUGCUUUUAACUGUGAUGGAGAGAAACAUAACAGCAAUAUGGUGAUCCGUUUGAGGAAAUGAUAGCUGAAUUAGAGACGAUCUCUGCGAUUUGAAUGUAAUUUCCUUUGAAGAAGCUGCAUUUGAGAAGCUACUUUCUUCUGCCUUUAGUAACCUCCAGAAUCAAUUAUUUAGUGUUUGAGAUUGCUGCAGACUAAGCUCACUGACUGCGGAAAAACCUCUCAGCUUUGGUAAAAAAUGUUUUCACAGUUCACCAUUUCAUUUUAGAUGUCUGCUCCUGAUCUGUGAAAAGCAGAAAUUAGCCGUCAGAGUAUUACAGAGUAACUGCCACAAUGAUCGUUGUGCUUCAAGCACAGUGGAAAAUGCAGAAACCAAAAGAACAAGAGAGCCAGAAUAGUAUUAUGAAAUGGUGAUUUUAGUGCAAAGAGAAGAGAAUCUGAAUUUCUGCUCUCAGCAGUGCAGGAUCAUGUACCAAGAUGGCAUCUGGCUGACGUGCAGGGAAGGGAUUGGUGUUUUAAUGAAGCCAAGAAAAUCAGCCUGCUGUCCAGUUCAGCCUGAACCAACAGCACCUCGAACUGACAUCCGAGAAAGACGGGGAGAAAUGAUCUGAAGCAGCAGGAAGGAGAAACAGCAUCUGUAUAAAGUGCAAUAGACAUGAAUAAAAUGGCUUUACAGGUCAGCUGUUGGAAACCACCCUAAAAUUCCCUCCCCUACCAACCACCAGAAUUCCACAGGGAGGGGGAUUUUACAUUCCUUGUUUCUCAGUGAGAGCUGUAUCAGUUUCACACUCUCAACUCAAAUGUCUUCAGCAGACCAUCAAUCUGUAACAGGAUACAAGCUAACGAAUCAUUUAAACUCAUAUUAUCCUCUUUGCUUCCAAUCAUAAGCAAAGCGCAUAGUCUUUUGUUCUAAACUAAAAAAAAAAAAAAAUCAUCAUUCAGUGUACUGCACUGAAAUCCGUGGCAUGACUCUCCUUUUUUAUAAGAGAAGCUCAUUUUUCUAGGUCUCUAACCUCUUCAUAUUUCAUGCACUUGUUAUUUCCUUCGUUUGUGAAAAGUCAGUCAGUCAGCUCUUGGUCCUGCCAGUCCUUCAGGCAAUGUAAAAG
ensembl:lncRNA